rnacentral:lncRNA from 1 species
GGGAACAGAGGGCAGGAGAUUAACACCAUUUGUGGGGCUGCCCUAUGCCAGGACUGGGCUUGGGACUUCAAGGAUGUGGUCAUGUUUAAAGUUCUCAGUGUCUACAAGAUGAUUGUUGCAUUGCUGCUUUAUGGAGGAGGGACCAGAGAGGCAGGCAGUUCAGCUGUUGUUGGCCCAAGCUUGACUGGCCGUGGAAUACCAGCCCCUUACUGCUAGCCCAGCGUGGGUCCCUAUGUCCCCAAAGCCCACAGCAGAAUUUCUGGCGUGGAUUACAGAGUGUCCUUGGGAGAAUGACUAUGACAGAAGGAGCUGGAUACAGUUCUCUUGCAGGAUCUCCUUCCCAGCCUUCAGAAAUUGCCGGUCUGGGAGUUGGGGGCAAGGAGAAGAUCCUGCAACCCAGUGAUUCCAUGGAAAGCAGAAAGAAGGACAUAAAGAAACGGAUACUUGGUGACAUCUUUGACUCACUGGAUCAAACCUUGCCUGAAGCUCACAUUUCUGAAAUUUCCAGAUACAAGAACAAAUACUUCCUCUUUAUUGUUUUACUAGAUUUGAGACAAGCUUUAAGUUUCUCAGACUCUUCCUCUUCCUAACAGAUUUAUCAGAAGCUGAAAGCUCUGAUCUUGUUGGGAUGCGGAUCGUGUCAGGAGAAGGCUUACUUUGCACGCUUUUCUUAGUCUGGUUGCCUAACUCAAGAACCUCGGCAUGGCUCUGUUACUUCUCUACUCAGACAAGCAUCCCUGCAGACACUCACUAGGCUAACUCUGUCUUUAUUUUUAGAAUUAGACCUUUACGAGAAGCACAGUUUUGUCUUCAGUUUCCUCUCCCCCCACCCGGAAUGGCCUGAGCCGAAGCCAGCUCCCUCCGAGAAGUCAUUACCGCCUGACUUGCGUUUGAUAUUUAGACACCUUGGUCACAACAUCUUGCAUUCUCUCGGGAUGCUGAUUUCUAACUGCUCUUUGGCCUUUCCUGCAUUGGUCCUCCUCAGGCAGGGGAUCCCUGCUCUUCUAUAUUAGUGAGUAUUGCUGUUGUAACAAACAGACCCAAACAUAAUGCAAGUUUAUGUCAUGCCUCAUUUAACACUGCAGGGCUGUUCUAGUUUGGGGUCAGACAUGGUGAGCGUGAGGGCAUCCUUCUCCAUGCAGUGGUUCAGAGAUUUUGGCUGAUGGCAGGCAUGCCAACUUUAAAUUGGCCUCCAAAGUCAUGCUGGAGAGCACCGUUAACCAGAA